rnacentral:lncRNA from 1 species
CUUGAAGCCCAGCAGGCCUUCCGUUCAGUUGGUACCAAGUGGGAUGCUUCAGCAAACAAAGCUACAGGGGCACCUGACAGAAAACAAGAUAUUGGGAAAUUCGUCGAGCUUCCGGGUGCAGAGAUGGGAAAGGUGACAGUCAGAUUCCCCCCAGAGGCUAGUGGGUAAGGAACACUACCUGCUUGUAGCCAGCACACUGCGUGCACAUGCUCUUCAGUUUUCAUUACUUCCUGUCGCUGAGUUCAUCUGGAAGACUACUACGGCCUUAAGGGUGGGAGCAAGUCUAAAAGGCCUGCUUAGUUAUUUACAGCUAAUGUUAAUUUAUAGUUUUAGUUCAUUAAGGCAGUAGAGACAACAUAUAAAUUUCAUUGUAGAUUUUAAAAACAAAUAAAAUAUCCAUAGAAAGUUUUAAAUAUAAAUAAGAAAGUGUCCAUAUAUAGAAAAUCUUGCGUUUUGCUUAUACUUAGAGGUUUUUGCAGCCUUUUUUCAGUAAGGAUUUGUAUUUAUACCUGCUCCUUUAUAGUAGAUGUUACAGUAGCAUUUAGUUUUCUAAAAUAAAGGAAAGGAAAAUUUG